rnacentral:lncRNA from 1 species
UGCCCUGGAAAGCUAACCAAAGCUGGCACCGCGCUUGGGUGUCUGGAGAUAUUAUGGUGUUACCGGUAUCAAGUGUUGAGUUUUAGCUUUUCGGACCACAGACUUUGACGCUUAUGCCAUGCUAAAGUUGGCAACGUUACCGUAAUGUGUGUCCUACUGUAGUAAUGAUACGUGAGGCCUGCCAGCCUGGUACUUCCUCGUGGUUUUGGCUUGGACGCUGCGGGUCUGAGGGCUUGUUCUGCGCAGGGCCUUGCACUGACAGCUCCAGGGUCGGGCAGAAAACGGAGAAUUAAUCAGAUACAAGUUAGAGAAAGCUUCCAAAAUCUGAACAGAUGAAGAUCAAUUGAUAAAUCAACCCAGCGAUUCACCGUAAUUUCAAGGUACUGUGACAUGCUUACCCACAUAUUUUCCUUAAGCAUAAUAUUCACAUACUUUAGAAGUGAGAAGCGUGGAGAACAGGAUAUUAACAGGGUUGCAAAGCAAGUCUGAAGUGUUACCAGAUGCAGUGGGGAGACUUUUUUAAAAAAAA